UACGGAGGGUGCAAGCGUUUAUCCGGAUUCACUGGGUUUAAAGGGUGCGUAGGUGGGCAGGUAAGUCAGUGGUGAAAUCUCCGGGCUUAACCCGGAACUGCCGUUGAUACUAUCUGUCUUGAAUACUGUGGAGGUAAGCGGAAUAUGUCAUGUAGCGGUGAAAUGCUUAGAUAUGACAUAGAACACCAAUUGCGAAGGCAGCUUACUACACAGUUAUUGACACUGAGGCACGAAAGCGUGGGGAUCAAACAGG
rnacentral:rRNA from 1 species